rnacentral:rRNA from 1 species
UAGGGAAUCUUCGGCAAUGGGGGGAACCCUGACCGAGCAACGCCGCGUGAGUGAAGAAGGUUUUCGGAUCGUAAAGCUCUGUUGUUAAGGAAGAACGAGUGUGAGAAUGGAAAGUUCAUACUGUGACGGUACUUAACCAGAAAGGGACGGCUAACUACGUGCCAGCAGCCGCGGUAAUACGUAGGUCCCGAGCGUUGUCCGGAUUUAUUGGGCGUAAAGCGAGCGCAGGCGGUUAGAUAAGUCUGAAGUUAAAGGCAGUGGCUCAACCAUUGUAGGCUUUGGAAACUGUUUAACUUGAGUGCAGAAGGGGAGAGUGGAAUUCCAUGUGUAGCGGUGAAAUGCGUAGAUAUAUGGAGGAACACCGGUGGCGAAAGCGGCUCUCUGGUCUGUAACUGACGCUGAGGCUCGAAAGCGUGGGGAGCGAACAGGAUUAGAUACCCUGGUAGUCCACGCCGUACGAUGAGUGCUAGGUGUUAGGUCCUUUCCGGGACUUAGUGCCGCAGCUAACGCAUUAAGCACUCCGCCUGGGGAGUACGACCGCAAGGUUG